AGCGUACACGGUGGAUGCCCUGGCAGUCAGAGGCGAUGAAGGACGUGCUAAUCUGCGAUAAGCGUCGGUAAGGUGAUAUGAACCGUUAUAACCGGCGAUUUCCGAAUGGGGAAACCCAGUGUGAUUCGUCACACUAUCAUUAACUGAAUCCAUAGGUUAAUGAGGCGAACCGGGGGAACUGAAACAUCUAAGUACCCCGAGGAAAAGAAAUCAACCGAGAUUCCCCCAGUAGCGGCGAGCGAACGGGGAGCAGCCCAGAGCCUGAAUCAGUGUGUGUGGUUAGUGGAAGCGUCUGGAAAGGCGCGCGAUACAGGGUGACAGCCCCGUACACAAAAAUGCACAUACUGUGAGCUCGAUGAGUAGGGCGGGACACGUGGUAUCCUGUCUGAAUAUGGGGGGACCAUCCUCCAAGGCUAAAUACUCCUGACUGACCGAUAGUGAACCAGUACCGUGAGGGAAAGGCGAAAAGAACCCCGGCGAGGGGAGUGAAAAAGAACCUGAAACCGUGUACGUACAAGCAGUGGGAGCACAGAGCAAUCUGUGUGACUGCGUACCUUUUGUAUAAUGGGUCAGCGACUUAUAUUCUGUAGCAAGGUUAACCGAAUAGGGGAGCCGAAGGGAAACCGAGUCUUAACUGGGCGUUAAGUUGCAGGGUAUAGACCCGAAACCCGGUGAUCUAGCCAUGGGCAGGUUGAAGGUUGGGUAACACUAACUGGAGGACCGAACCGACUAAUGUUGAAAAAUUAGCGGAUGACUUGUGGCUGGGGGUGAAAGGCCAAUCAAACCGGGAGAUAGCUGGUUCUCCCCGAAAGCUAUUUAGGUAGCGCCUCGUGAAUUCAUACUCCGGGGGUAGAGCACUGUUUCGGCAAGGGGGUCAUCCCGACUUACAACCCGAUGCAAACUGCGAAUACCGGAGAAUGUUAUCACGGGAGACACACGGCGGGUGCUAACGUCCGUCGUGAAGAGGGAAACAACCCAGACCGCCAGCUAAGGUCCCAAAGUCAUGGUUAAGUGGGAAACGAUGUGGGAAGGCCCAGACAGCCAGGAUGUUGGCUUAGAAGCAGCCAUCAUUUAAAGAAAGCGUAAUAGCUCACUGGUCGAGUCGGCCUGCGCGGAAGAUGUAACGGGGCUAAACCAUGCACCGAAGCUGCGGCAGCGACGCUUAUGCGUUGUUGGGUAGGGGAGCGUUCAGUAAGCCUGCGAAGGUGUGCUGUGAGGCAUGCUGGAGGUAUCAGAAGUGCGAAUGCUGACAUAAGUAACGAUAAAGCGGGUGAAAAGCCCGCUCGCCGGAAGACCAAGGGUUCCUGUCCAACGUUAAUCGGGGCAGGGUGAGUCGACCCCUAAGGCGAGGCCGAAAGGCGUAGUCGAUGGGAAACAGGUUAAUAUUCCUGUACUUGGUGUUACUGCGAAGGGGGGACGGAGAAGGCUAUGUUGGCCGGGCGACGGUUGUCCCGGUUUAAGCGUGUAGGCUGGUUUUCCAGGCAAAUCCGGAAAAUCAAGGCUGAGGCGUGAUGACGAGGCACUACGGUGCUGAAGCAACAAAUGCCCUGCUUCCAGGAAAAGCCUCUAAGCAUCAGGUAACAUCAAAUCGUACCCCAAACCGACACAGGUGGUCAGGUAGAGAAUACCAAGGCGCUUGAGAGAACUCGGGUGAAGGAACUAGGCAAAAUGGUGCCGUAACUUCGGGAGAAGGCACGCUGAUAUGUAGGUGAAGUCCCUCGCGGAUGGAGCUGAAAUCAGUCGAAGAUACCAGCUGGCUGCAACUGUUUAUUAAAAACACAGCACUGUGCAAACACGAAAGUGGACGUAUACGGUGUGACGCCUGCCCGGUGCCGGAAGGUUAAUUGAUGGGGUUAGCGCAAGCGAAGCUCUUGAUCGAAGCCCCGGUAAACGGCGGCCGUAACUAUAACGGUCCUAAGGUAGCGAAAUUCCUUGUCGGGUAAGUUCCGACCUGCACGAAUGGCGUAAUGAUGGCCAGGCUGUCUCCACCCGAGACUCAGUGAAAUUGAACUCGCUGUGAAGAUGCAGUGUACCCGCGGCAAGACGGAAAGACCCCGUGAACCUUUACUAUAGCUUGACACUGAACAUUGAGCCUUGAUGUGUAGGAUAGGUGGGAGGCUUUGAAGUGUGGACGCCAGUCUGCAUGGAGCCGACCUUGAAAUACCACCCUUUAAUGUUUGAUGUUCUAACGUGGACCCGUAAUCCGGGUUGCGGACAGUGUCUGGUGGGUAGUUUGACUGGGGCGGUCUCCUCCUAAAGAGUAACGGAGGAGCACGAAGGUUGGCUAAUCCUGGUCGGACAUCAGGAGGUUAGUGCAAUGGCAUAAGCCAGCUUGACUGCGAGCGUGACGGCGCGAGCAGGUGCGAAAGCAGGUCAUAGUGAUCCGGUGGUUCUGAAUGGAAGGGCCAUCGCUCAACGGAUAAAAGGUACUCCGGGGAUAACAGGCUGAUACCGCCCAAGAGUUCAUAUCGACGGCGGUGUUUGGCACCUCGAUGUCGGCUCAUCACAUCCUGGGGCUGAAGUAGGUCCCAAGGGUAUGGCUGUUCGCCAUUUAAAGUGGUACGCGAGCUGGGUUUAGAACGUCGUGAGACAGUUCGGUCCCUAUCUGCCGUGGGCGCUGGAGAACUGAGGGGGGCUGCUCCUAGUACGAGAGGACCGGAGUGGACGCAUCACUGGUGUUCGGGUUGUCAUGCCAAUGGCACUGCCCGGUAGCUAAAUGCGGAAGAGAUAAGUGCUGAAAGCAUCUAAGCACGAAACUUGCCCCGAGAUGAGUUCUCCCUGACUCCUUGA
rnacentral:rRNA from 1 species